rnacentral:RNase_P_RNA from 1 species
CGAGCCUGCUGGGCGGUCGCGUCCCGCAAGGCGGGAUGAGGAAAGUCCGGACUCCACAGGGCACGGUGCUGGCUAACGGCCAGGCGGGGUGACCCGACGGAAAGUGCAACAGAAAACAUACCGCCCGCAAGGGUAAGGGUGAAAUGGUGCGGUAAGAGCGCACCGGCGUCGCAGCGAUGCGACGGCCUGGCAAACCCCACCGGGAGCAACGCCAAGACGCGCAGAUGAGGCGGCCCGCUGAUGCGCAGGUAGGCGGCUGGAGGCGCGCAGUAAUGCGCGUCCUAGAGGGAUGAUCGCCUCGGGCCUUGGGGCCUAGACAGAAUCCGGCUUAUAGGCAGGCUCGAGCA